GUCUGGAGCAUAGUGCUUUCUCUUCCUUUCACAUUUGCUAAGGCUCGGGUUCAGAUAGGAACCUUAGAGCAAAAUAUUCUUUCUUGGUAUUAACAAGAGAGAGAAAUCACUUCAUUUUAUCCGCUGCCAUUUUCCUAGAAAUUUCUAGAAUAUCAUAAAGGAAAUAUUAUUUGUCUAAAUGGAGCAAGUUCUCUGAUUCUACUGAUUACAGUUUAUAGUUCAGGCAAUAUUAAAUAAGCUAUUACCACUUGACAGUAAACAAGUCCUCAGUAAACCUCUAGAAAAAAUUUAAAAAUUUUCAAAGAUUCAACUAUUGUGCUGCUUCCUGGGAAAAAAAGACCUACUACUUAUUGAUGGAUUUAUAAUUGCCUGAUUUAUGGCAAGCUCUUCAGACCUAUGCUGCGUGCAGAACAUUUGGAUGGCAGAAGAAGUUAGACAUAUCAGUAGUAUAAUUACUGCAAUUCACACGCAUCAAACUGGGCUUUUGAAUAUAGGAACUACUGAAAUACAGUUAUUGUAGUAAAAAUGUCAAGACUAGAGACUGCUCUGUUUAAUAUCUGGCAUAUUAAUCCUAAUUAUAUAAACAAUAUGAAAUAAAGAGACUAGAAAAUAAGUAUAAGGAUUAUUUAUUGAAAUGACAGGAACAUUUGGAAGGGAAAUAGGAACAAAAGUAUCACAUUUGCUAGAUGGUUAAGAAACUCUCUUAGACAUUGUUUCUGUAUACAUCUGCAAUAAUCUUAUGUGUCCAUCAUAGUUAUGUAACCUUGUAGCCGACACUAAGUAGCCAUGUUUCUAAUGAGAAAUGUAUGGAAAUGAAUCCUUCUUGGGUUUGUUUUAAGAAAGAGUGUCAUGUUGCCUGCUCUGGUUUACAAAUCCCAAAUAUGGUUUUGGACUUAGUUCCCCUGCCUCUUCCUGCCAGUACUUUGGGUGCAAGCAUGGGCCGCCACGCCCAGCAGUGCCAACAGUGCCGGGUGCCUGCAUUUCACUCUGCAGGCAGCCCAUCGCUCACACUGACUCUUCAGGUGGCCCAGUGGCUGCUUUGAACUGUUAGGGGAAAGUACACACAUGCAGCGCCUGUGUUUGUGGUAAGUUAGUGUCCGCAGUUCUUCCUGUUAACUAGUUACUCAUUUUAAUUAAUAUUGUUAAACUGGGGCAGGGAUAAUUUUGAUUUGACGAAUGUUUAUUAUCAAAUUUUCACAUUAUUAGAGAAUCUAUAUUCUAAUUUGUGUGAUUAAUAUGUCUUCUAAAAGUGAAAGUGAAUCUUAAAAAUAAAUUUUAUGUUAGUAAAAGCUUAGUAGAAAACCUGAUGAUAGUUGCAUUGGUUCAAGAAAGGAACUUUCAGAAGAUUAUUUUUAUGAGCAUUAUAAGAGUAUUUAUUGGCCAUUAAACUUUUUAAAUCAUUAAAAUAGAUAUAUAUCCCCUUUAUCAUAAAAAAUAAGUAUGGAUACCAUAAAAAUCAAGAAAUGUUUCUGUUUUAUUUUAAUUUUAGUAUUUCUUUGAAAUUUCUCAAGGUGAGAAAAACCAGCAGCACAUAGAUGUCAACUCCAAACAAAGGGGAAUUACUGUUGUUUUCUGAGGUUGGCUUUUCCUAGGCAAUAGAGCCCGAGCUUUAGCCUAAUGCUUAGGUAAACUGAGCUUAUGCCCCAAGGGAUGCCGGUUUACUUUGAGAUUCAGCUCUUUCGAAGCCUUUUUUGAAAAAUCCGGAAUGAGCUGGUGGGCCCUGAGACUGAGCUAGUCACUGUUGUCUCCUGCUGCGCUUCCCAUAUCCCUCAAAACCACGGAUUUAUCUUUAAAAGCAUUUCAAGUUAGAACUAUAGUUAGAACUUAUAACUAGAAUGGAGAUCAUGUUGUUUAAACUUUGCUUUUAAGAUUUAGAUUGCAUUUUUAUUCACAUACAUACAGAUAUUUAAAACAGAGCCACUCACAGUGCUAAGUCUGAGCUCACAGGACAGAGAGCCUCCACUAUGAGAACCAGGCUGUUGUUUGGGAUAAGCUAAAGAGUGUUUCAGAUUUGAUAUUGUUUGGAGGUGAGAAUAUUUAUUUUUACACACAUAAUGAAAUGUUUGGGGAACAGCAUGCAAGUCUAAUCAUGAUACCAUACACACACACACACACACACACACACACACACGCGCAUGCGCAAACAUGCAAAUUGACUAAGUAUCCUGGAGGCAUUUUUUAUUAUUUUGUUUUGUGUGUUAUGAAUAUAUGAGUGUGUAUAUGUGUGUGCACGUGUGUUGCAUAUGUAGGGUGCACAUGCAUGUGUGUGUGUGUGUGUGUGUGUGUGUGUGUAUGUGUGUACUCAUGCAUGUGAGCAUGUGCAGAGGCCAGAGUAGGACACUGAGUGUCUUUUGAUGUCACUCUCCACCUGACUGCUUUGAGACAGACUUAUGAUCAUCCUUUUGCCUCUCAGCUAUGGUGAGUGCCCAUAAAUCAAUCAAUCUCUCUCUUUCCCCCUCCUUCCCUCCCUCCCUCCCCCCCCCCUCUCUGUGUGUGUAAUAAGGUACAGAUCUUUGCACACAGGCUGCAAGUCUUAUCCACUGAGCCAGUUUCCGUGUCCAUCUGGAAGUAAUUUUCAUCAGUAUUUUUAAUCUGUCCAUAUUUUAACUACAACUUAUUACAUUAAAUCACAUGUAGAAUUUUGCAUUAUGGGUGUCAUUUUGGCAUUAAGAAAGUUUUACAUUUGGGGACAUUUUAAAUGUCAGAUUUUGGCUUAGAGGAUGUUUAAUAUAUAAUAAAAGGACUUGUUACAGUUGUAGUAGCAGAUCUGCCAGCUAAUACUGUUAAGUGGUUCCAGUGUUAUCAGACGGGGCUAGACACACUAUAGGGCUCACUAUAUUUUUAUUAAAAUCCUCAACAGGUAAAUAUUAUUAUAUCUCAUUUUACAAUGAAUUGAUUGUCCUAGAUCAGACAUAUUGUAAAUAUGAUUCACAUAUGAUUAAACCACUUAGGUUGAACCAAAAGCAAACAAGGAAAUAACUAUAUUUCUUUGUAACUAUAUAACUAUGUUUUAUAACUGUAUAAAAACAGCAUUUUUAAUUCUCUAAUUUAUCACUUAUAUUCAUAAUUUCCUCACAAUAUAGGAAUUAUAUGUGUCCAGACUAUAUGGGCUACUCUGUUUGUAAUUUUCAAGUAAGAGUCAGGGGACACCUACACUGACAGCUGUUGUGUGAAAUAUCCCUUCUCAUGGCCCCCUGUUGCCACACUGGAAUCCCAGACAUACUUAGUACUUGGACAAUGUAGGUCAGUGUGACAAAACAAUACUGACUUAUGCAGGAGACUCAGAAAAGUUGUUUAUGAUUAAGUUGUAUUUUAAAUUGUCAUUGUUGUAGAUCCUUUUCAUGCAUAUUAUAUAGUGAAAACGAAGGCAGGAACCAUAGGCAAAAGGAAUCCAGGAAACAGAAAGCCGUGAUGGGGAAAGAAAGAAGAGAGGGUAAAGGAGACCAUGUGAGAAAAAAGAGGAAAUGGGCAAAGGAGAAAGGCGGAACAGCGAGGAACAGAUCCCUAAGACACCAGUUAUGAGUAUAUUUUAAAAUGGUUUACAUGGUAAAUGAAAAUUAUAACAAAGUGACUGACAGAAAGCAGUGAAGAAAUGGGCAAGACUCGACCUACUCUGGGUCUUCUCAUUGUUACACACUCUUCCUCACUCUGUUCUUAGCAUGGAAUCAAAAAGACUUUUCUGUUUAGCAUGAGUCAUUUUAAAAUAGCAAAAUACUGUGUCCUGUUAGUAUUUCCCUAUCAUUUUUGUUUCUUCUUAAUAUAUAGAAACUAAAAUCUAAGCGUUUUUAAGUUGGCUUAAAUAAUAUUUCUAAGUAGUAUGUUUUAUCUUAACCACAUUCCCCUGAUACACACUGUCCUUUGCAGUGUAAGUAGGGUAUAGCAUUAGGGACUGUGCUUUCUAGGCCAUGGGUGGUGGUUCACCCUAUGAUCCCAGUAUGUUGGGGCUGAAGCAGUAGAUUUUUACAGAGCUCAAGGCUAGUCCAGGUUAUAUUGUGAGACCCUGUAUAAAAGAACAGUACAUUGUUUGUAAUAGAAAAAGUUAGGGGCUGGAGAGAUGGCUCAGUGGUUAAGAGCACCUGACUAUUCUUCCAGAGGUCCUGAGUUCAAUUCCCAGCAACCACAUGGUGGCUCACAACCAUCUGUAAUGAGAUCUGAUGCCCUCUUCUGAUGUAUCUGAAGAUAGCUACAGUGUACUUAUAUAUAAUAAAUGAAUAAAUCUUUAAAAAAAAAGAAAAAGAAAAAGUUAGAAUAAUUUCUAACCUGCCUAUAAGUGCUUUUCUUUUAAAAACAGCCAACUAAUACUUGCCACAUAUUAUACAAGUCCUAACAUCUAGACCUUAUCAUUUGUGUAUAAAUUUAGUAACAAUGUGUAAUAUAACUCAGAUUUAACAAAAUUGAUACCUAAUUUCAUAAAAUUAAAAGCAUGACAAUCUUAUUGACUAUUUUAAAAUUCCACUUAUAUUUCUUUUAAGACAGAAGGAAAUUUGAGUAUAAGUAAAGGUAGUAUGCUUUCAUAAGAUCUACUUAUGCACAACUGAAUAGAUACAUUUAAAAUUAACUUUGAAUUGUCUUGACAUGUGCAAGGAAUGCAAGUGGAAGCAGACAUAAAAUACAGCCCACAUUGAAUCCUCCUGUUAUGGUUUAGCUAUGAAACAUCCAGUCAGCGCGUUCCUGUUGGUCUGACUCCUAGCAGGCGGGCAUGAGACCUGUGAAGUCAUCCACCCAUGGGACAUCCUUUCAUAGCAUUGGCAGGAGGAAGGAGAAACUUCUGCAGAUGUAGGGCUUGUUGAGGGAGACUGUAAGCUGUCAUGUGUCUGCUCUUGGGUACUGUAUCUUUCUCAGGCCUUCUUCCUCAUUCUCUGCUUUUUUGGCUGUGUCUGCUUCACUGCACACUUCACUCAGCCCUCUCCAUUGUGGGCCUCUGUCAUCACUGGCUCAUAGUAGCAUAGCAGGACAGCCAUGGAAUGGUUGAAACUUCUGAAAUGGGAAGCCAGUGUAAAUUCUUCCCCUCUCAGUUGUUUUUCUCAGGAAUUUUCUCAUGAGGAAUGAUGAGUAUUACAUCCCCUUACACAGCCUUAAGAGUUGUCUUCCAUUACUAUCAAGCUGAUACCGAGCUAGCAUUAUCAACCCAUCAUCAACAUCAGAAUGACGGGCUGCAGAUAUAGCUCAGUAGUAGGAUACUCGCUUGGCAUAUGUGAGUCCCUGGUUUAGUGCUCAGUACUACAGAAAAAAAAAAAGACAAGAUAAAAUCAAUAAUUACUACAAACCCUUGCAACUUGGUCCUGAUAAUAAUCACUCAACGUUUGAGAAAUUGAGUGGUGAAUAUAAUGCAAUACAAGGUACUUUAUGAUGGAGAGAUGGAAAAAUUUACCAUGUCAGUUUCAGAAGAUAGAGCAACCUUGUUAUUAAGUUACGGAUGUAAAUAACUAUAAAAAUCCAGUGUAUCAGUGCAAUGUAAUGAUGAUAAAUGAACUAAAACUGCUUCUACAUAUACAACUGCGUUAACAUACUUGAAUACAUGUUUUCUUUUAUUUUGAAGACAGUUAAACGAGUCUCUGGUCUAUUAGCAUAUUGUUUAUAUGAUUACACAGAGAUAAUUAUCAGGAAUAUCCAUAUGCCUGACACUAAAGAAACAGUCUGCCCUUAGUAAUUAUACUCCAUUGUCAUCCAUUCACAAUGAUAUGACAAGAUGAUCAUUCCAUAAUUAUUAAAUAUUUAUAUUAAAUUAUUAGACAUUGUGUUGAACAUUGUGAGGAAAGAAGGAAAAUGUUCAUUGUCUUAUGCACUGUUUAGAGGUGAUAAAUUAUGAUGAUAAUAAUUAGCAUUUAGUUCUUAGUAGACCUAAGAAAGAUAACGUAGAUUUACAGGUGAAUCAUAACAAAGUUUUAUCAAGAAAAAUGAAGCCUAGGUCACUGGAAAAAAUUUCCUGAACAAAACACCAAUGGCUUAUGCUCUAAGAUCAAGAAUCGACAAAUGGGAUCUUAUAAAACUGCAAAGCUUCUGUAAGGCAAAGGACACUGUGGUUAGGACAAAACGGCAACCAACAGAUUGGGAAAAGAUCUUUACCAAUCCUACAACAGAUAGAGGCCUUAUAUCCAAAAUAUACAAAGAACUCAAGAAGUUAGACCGCAGGGAAACAAAUAACCCUAUUAAAAAAUGGGGUUCAGAGCUAAACAAAGAAUUCACAGCUGAGGAAUGCCGAAUGGCUGAGAAACACCUAAAGAAAUGUUCAACAUCUUUAGUCAUAAGGGAAAUGCAAAUCAAAACAACCCUGAGAUUUCACCUCACACCAGUGCGAUUGGCUAAGAUCAAAAACUCAGGUGACAGCAGAUGCUGGCGAGGAUGUGGAGAAAGAGGAACACUCCUCCAUUGUUGGUGGGAUUGCAGACUGGUAAAACCAUUCUGGAAAUCAGUCUGGAGGUUCCUCAGAAAAUUGGACAUUGAACUGCCUGAGGAUCCAGCUAUACCUCUCUUGGGCAUAUACCCAAAAGAUGCCUCAACAUAUAAAAGAGACACGUGCUCCACUAUGUUCAUCGCAGCCUUAUUUAUAAUAGCCAGAAACUGGAAAGAACCCAGAUGCCCUUCAACAGAGGAAUGGAUACAGAAAAUGUGGUACAUCUACACAAUGGAAUAUUACUCAGCUAUCAAAAACAACGAGUUUAUGAAAUUUGUAGGCAAAUGGUUGGAACUGGAAAAUAUCAUCCUGAGUGAGCUAACCCAAUCACAGAAAGACAUACAUGGUAUGCACUCAUUGAUAAGUGGCUAUUAGCCCAAAUGCUUGAAUUACCCUAGAUCCCUAGAACAAACGAAACUCAAGACGGAUGAUCAAAAUGUGAAUGCUUCACUCCUUCUUUAAAUGAGGAAAAAGAAUACCCUUGGCAGGGAAGGGAGAGGCAAAGAUUAAAACAGAGACUGAAGGAACACCCAUUCAGAGCCUGCCCCACAUGUGGCCCAUACAUAUACAGCCACCCAAUUAGACAAGAUGGAUGAAGCAAAGAAGUGCAGACCGACAGGAGCCGGAUGUAGAUCGCUCCUGAGAGACACAGCCAGAAUACAGCAAAUAUAGAAGCGAAUGCCAGCAGCAAACCACUGAACUGAGAAUAGGUCCCCUAUUGAAGGAAUCAGAGAAAGAACUGGAAGAGCUUGAAGGGGCUCGAGACCCCAAAAGUACAACAAUGCCAAGCAACCAGAGCUUCCAGGGACUAAGCCACUACCUAAAGACUAUACAUGGACUGACCCUGGACUCUGACCCCAUAGGUAGCAAUGAAUAUCCUAGUAAGAGCACCAGUGGAAGGGGAAGCCCUGGGUCCUGCUAAGACUGAACCCCCAGUGAACUAGUCUAUGGGGGGAAGGCGGCAAUGGGGGGAGGGUUGGGAGGGGAACACCCAUAAGGAAGGGGAGGGGGGAGGGGGAUGUUUGCCCGGAAACCGGGAAAGGGAAUAACACUCGAAAUGUAUAUAAGAAAUACUCAAGUUAAUAAAAAAAAAAAAUUAAAAAAAAAAAAGAAAAAUGAAGCCUAGGUAAGAUUUCAAAGGAUAAGUUGCAAGUAGAAAUAGGAUUUAAUUAUUAGAAAAAAAAUCAAACAUUUCCAGAGCCAUAUGAUAGAUAAAGGGCCAGACUGAUUUAAAGAGAAAUAGGUGUGAGCAUGACUUUAGUGUAUAUUCAGAGAAUUAAAGUAAAUAAUCAUGAAUCUGACAGGUUAAAAAACCCUUCAUAUUUCUUCAUGAAAAGUAUUAGGAAACAAAUAUUUUUGAGAGAUCACUGGAUAAAUACAAUACCUGGAGACUAAUGGUUUGGCAACAAGAACAAAACAAAGGAGUCAGCGGUGUUGUCAGAGACAGGAAGCAGUCAGACAUCAGUGUUCUGGGGGAGAAGAGCAGAAAACUCAGCAGGAAUAGAGUCAUGAAUCAUCAAGGGUUUUCUCUGAUGACUUUGACAAGUUGAUUGAUGUUUGUUAUCUUUAAGACAUUUAAGUUCAAACUGUCAGAAAAAAGUAAAAAUGUCUAAAUGUACACACUAGGGAAGCAAGGGACUGUUUUGGGUGACACCCUGUCCUAGUUGACUAGGACAGACUUGUAUUGCUGUGAUGAAACUCCACGACCAAAGCAAGCUGGGAAAGAGCUUGUUUGACUUAUGAUUUCAAAUCACCAUUCAUCACUGAAGGAAGUUAAGACAGGAACUCAACAGGGCAGGGUCUUGGAGGUGGAAGCUGGUGCAGAUACCUUGAAGGGGUGCUUACUGGCUUGUUCCAGACGGCUUGCUCAGCCUGCUUUCUUAGAGAACUCUGGACCACUGGCCCAGGGAUGGCAACACCUUCAACGGGCUGGGUUCUACCCCAUCAAUCACUGAUUUAAAAAUGCUCUGCAGGCUCACCUAUAGUCUGAUUUUAUAGGGGCAUUUUCCCAACUGAGCCUCCCUCCUUACCAAUGACUUGUAUCAAGUUGAUAUAAAACUAACUAGCACACGUCCCAAAAAUAUAAAAUGAGGAAAAAGAAAAAUUGUUAGCAGAGUGGAAAUUCCAUGCAUCAAGAAACAAGAAUGGAGUUAGCAGAGGAAAGGUGGACUUCGUGUUAAGAAGGAGCAGAUUCCAUUCAGGAUAGUUCAGACUUCUACAUUUCAGUUUAGCUGUUUCUCUCCUCACCCACUGUGGAGCAGGUGUGGGGAUAUUCUGGGUCUGAAAGCUGUGCUUUCUGUGGUGUCAGAUGGCUGACAGUGAGAAAAAGCACUGGCCCCUCAGCACAUGCACACAUUACAUAAUGCAGUGAAAGCUUUCACAGCAGGGAACAGAAGCUGUCAGAUAGCCCCGAGACACUACCUGGUGGAUGGAGACCUUUGCCAGUUUCUGUUCAGACCACUGCCAACAACAAUUUUCAAAUUAAUUAAAACAUAUGGCCAUUAAAUUCAUAUUAAACAUGCUCUACAAAUUUACCUCUUUUGCACGAAGACAUUGAAAAUAUAAUUUUAAAUUUUCAGAGACACCUUCUCUUAAUUUCUGAUUGUUUUCACCUUGCCUUGUGUUGUGGGGCAGACUUUUCCUGUGGAGAGACACAGCACAUGUCUGCUCAUCCCAGAUAGGGAUCCCACAAGAGACAAAAGUACAGAUACCACCAACAAAGAUCAAGUUGGUGAAGCAGUGAGGUUUGAGGGGUUACUUAAAGAGGACAGAAAUAACUCAAAGAAUCGAAUCACCAAGGCCCCCAUGAGCGUGGCUGACAGCUCACAGUUGGGGACCUGGGGCACACUGUAAGAGUAAAUGCCCAGCACACUGGGGAGCUCCCAGUUCCUGGGAGCACCUUUCAGGCAACUCACUGGUCAGUUUCCUCCAGGCAGUUCAGAAUGCCCCUGCCUCUGUUUCUUCUAGCCUGCUGGGCUUGGAGUGGGAGUGGCAGAGAGGGAUAAAUCUCAGAAAUCUUUUCUUUUUAUAUACUCAUGAGAAUGGAGAGGCCUGGUGAAUCUGGUCGGUUUUAGAGACUUCCGGAAAUUGCUUUGAGUUCACUUUCUCUCUUAAUGAACUUCCUGCAGGAUGGAAUCUCUCAAUCUGGGAGGAAAGAACUACUCAAUCAGUUCAGUGGCCAGUUAGCCCUUCAGCUUUUUAAAAGGAAUUAAUGUUUUAUAAGUGAUGUUUAAUGUAUUAUUAAAGCAUACUAUUUCAUAGGGCUUACAGAAAGCUCCAUGAAACCAAAAAUAUUCUUUUGUUUUUCCCUUAAAAUUUUUAUAUUGCAAUGAGGGUUGCUUUAAAAAAAUAUGGGAAAUGCGCCUUUUCUGUAGGUUUAAAUCCCACAUGUUUCAUGAGUUAAUAGCAUGAUGUAAGAUAUUAAAACAGAAUUGUAGAAAUUUACUACCAUUAAAUAUGUAUAGGCACUCCAUGAAAAACACAAAUUGAAGUUGAUGGAUUACUAAAUAAACAGAGGACAGGAAGUAACCAAGGUAGGAUGGCAGGGUAUAUUUGGGAGGACUUGUAGCCAAAUAUGACCAAAGUACGUUGUAAGAAAUUCUCAGUAAAUUAAUAAAAUAUUUUAAAAACUUAAUAGAUUUUAUUUAACUCUACAAGUUUUAGAUGGGAUCUAGCUUUAGGAGAAACAAACUGAGAUACUGUAGAGGACAGAAGUGGAGGGCUGUGACAAAUGUAUUUUGUUUAAGCCUGUGGGCCUUACCAGGUCACCCCGACUCAGUGAGAUGGGCAGCAGUGGGUCAGAUGCAAGCUGGCCCUCCAUGUCAGUGUCAGUGUGAGCUUCAAGUACUGAAGUGGAGUUUAGGAAAGAAGAGUAUUUUUGUGUCUAGUCUCCCAACUCUGUAAUUGGAUUUCUGUACUAUGCUGUACUUUGUUUAUGUGAGUUAUGGAACUCCUAGUAGAUUAUAUAAAAUUAUUGAAAAUAUUUUUUUUCGUGCAAUAUAUUUGGUUAUGGUUUCUCUUCCCCAACUCUUCCCCACUGCCCAAAUACACACCCUUUAUUGUUCUCUCUCUCAUUAGGAAAUAAACAGGCAAAUAAAUAAACGUAAUAAGAGCAAACUCUGGUACAUUGUCUUUAAUGGCUUGGUGCGUUUCAGGCUGAGGACACUUCCUUGUGUAUAGAUCUGUCAGUGCCACGGUACUAAUGAAGGAAAUCUUUUUCUCUAGGGUUCAUCCCUAGAAAUCCCAUGUGCAUAUGAGGGGAAGAUGCUCUGUUAGUGUGAGGCAAGGACACACAGUGACACAUAUGCUAGCAACAAAUGCUGGUUCUAUGGUUCUCAUUUACUGAUUUCACUAUUAUCCCAGCAUAUUAUUAAACAUAGUAAAGAUAAUGUUUAUAUAGAAUUAUGCUCAUUGUGAUGGUCUUUAAAAUACUAAAUACCUGAGAUUUAAAGAAAAAGACAAGAAACAAAAUGUAUACUAUGUCUUAUAUGUAUAGAACCAAUUAAUCAAAAAGGAAAUGCAGUUCAUUCCUCUGAUUCUUCUAAGUAUGCUAAUGGCUUGUUACCUGAUAUACUAGUGUUAGUCACAAUUUAAAGUCUUAUCGUCUGUGUCUUUAAAUUGCAGAAAAAGGGAAACGUGGAUGAGAUAGAUAGUAAUUGGAAUAAGAUUCCCACAGACCAGAGAUUCAAAGCUGGGAGUAAAGCAUGAGCAAAUGAUCCCAGAGCAUGUCCUUGAUAAGACAGGCCCUGGAUUCCAGUGUUCAGAGCACACAGAUGGAUCCCGGGCUUGAGCUGACAUCGAGUGAGUGUAAAAUCAAGAGAUUCAUCUAAAUGAUCUGAAAUGUCACUCUUAGCUCUAAAUAUCUGCUGCUUUGUACCUUAUACUUUUAUGGCAGUUGUUCUGUUUAAGCAAAAACCUGAUGAGUGAAGAGGCAGCAGCAGUCAGAAGAACAGGAGUAAGUCUCCCUGCAGCGAGAGGACCACCAUAAAUAUUUUUUAAGUAUAUGGAAAUGUGAUUUUUAUAACGGGAACUAUAAAUGUACCAUUUAUUUUCUAGCAAAUAACUUCAUCUCCUCUCAGUUUGUUCCUGUUUCCUUACUCUCUGUUGUAUUUCUGUUGGUAAACUUAGUUGGCCAUAGUCUAUCAAGAAGUUGUUUUACAGAAGUAGUCACUAAGAGUGGAUUCCACAACUCUGCAUUUUGCUUGGUUGUUGUUUUCUAUAGUGGUCUCUGUUGCAGUGAUGUUUCUUGAGAAGGAACGAGAACUAUACUAAUCUUUAGGUAUAAGGGCAAAUAGUUAUAGUUAUUAUUGAUUAUGCUAGUUUAGUAACGUGGUGGUUGUAGGUUCCUUUGGAAGAUCCACUACAUCACUAGCCCUAGGCAGCUGGUUAGACUUCCAGUACAGAUGUUUUCUGUCUUGGUGUAUGGGGCUUAAUCCAAUUAGAGCUCUGUUGAUUACCACCAAGGUAUAUGUGCCACUGCCAUACCCUUAGGGUUAUCCUGCUAUCCUGGUGUUUGCGGUUCAUAGGCACGAUAGCCAGUAGGACUUUUGGUCAUUUUCCUCCUUUGGAGGAAGCAUUUAAGUCCGUUCUAGCCACAGGAGACUGAACACUGAAUCUGAAGUGCAUACUGUCUUUAGCAAUGGAGACCUACCUUCCACCUCUGAAGGGUAGUGGCAAUAGUCAAUAAUGUUUUAAGGGUCUUUUGGACAACCCCAAUGAGCAGUUUAGAAGAGGGCUUCUCAUUGCUUGUUUUGAGGGUUUUGUUAAUGGUCUUUGAUCUUGGAGGUGGCAUUAUCAGCAUAGACAGGAAGUUUUCAUUAAAAAGAAAAUUAAUUGAAGUUUCUAUUGCUGCAAUGAAACAUUGACCAAAAGCAAGUCGGGAAGGAAAUGGUUUGCUUGGCUCACACUUCCACAUCAUGGUUCAUCACUGAAGGAAGUCAGGAGAGGAACUGAAACAGGGCAGGAACCUGGGGGCAGGAGCUGAUGCAGGUGCUAUGGAAAGAGUGCUUUACAUGGCUUGCUCAGCCUGCUUUCUUAUAGAACCCAGGACCACCUGCCCAGGGAUAGCACUGCCCACCAUGGCUGGGCCAUCCUCCCCUAAUCACUAAUUGAGAAGACACCACAACUAGUUCUUAUAAGGGAGUUUUUUUUCUCAAUUGAAGUUUCCUUCUUUUAAAUAACUCUAACUGUGUCAGAUUGACAUAAAGGUAGUGCACGCACACACACACACACACACACAUGCACACACGCACGCACACACGCACGCACACACGCACGCACACACGCACGCACACACACGCGCACAUACACACACACACACAUACACACACACACACACGCCCGCACACACACACACGCUUUACGUUUCUGAUCCCUGAGGUGUUCCAGGGUCUGUACUAACAUCUGGCUCUUGGCUGUCUCUUCAGGUUUAGGUUGCCUCACUUACUCUAAUUUUUUCUGGUUCUAUCAAUUUUUCCCGUAGAACUAAUAAUUUUAUCUCAUUUGCAUUCUGUCUCAUAUGUGUACCACCAUUUGGCUCACACUUUGUGUAUCACUUGGAGGAUAUUUAUGUUUUUCCGUUUCCUGGGUCGUAUGAGCAGAGCGGCACUGACCAUGGCUGAGCAAGUGUCUGCAAUAGGACAUGGAAGCCUUGGGGUAGCCAAGGAGUGGGUAGCAGGGCCAUGCAGUACACUUACUUCUCGGCUUUGGGAAUUCUGUUUACUGAUUCCCAGAGUGGCCAACCCGUUUACAGUUCUACCAACAGUGAGUGAGGGUUCCUUUCCCCUUGCAGCUCCUCCAGCACUGGUUGUUAAUUUUGUUAAGUUUUGCCAUCCUGACUGAUAAAAAUCUCAAAAUUGUUAGGUUUACAUUUUUUUAAAUUGCGAUGGGCUGUGAACAUUUUUGGAAAUAUUUCUUAGCUGUUGUCUCCUUCCCUCCUCCCCUCCCUCCUUCCUUUCUUCUUUUUGUUCUUUCAUUCUUUCUUUCUGUGUUUGACUGUGUUUUUGCACUCCUGCACUUAGGCAGGCCUACCCCCUCAACCCCUACCACCAGGGUCAGCUCUGUCUAAUGUGUUGCCCAAGGGUAAUACAAGGUCACCCUGAAAGCUGCAGCUGGCCAGCCCCAGGCAGCAGCCCAGACCAGGGUUGUACGCAUGGCUUUUGGUGGUAAAAGGGACCACAGACAUCUCCACAGACCCCUGCUACUGCAGAGUCUCCAUCCCAGACAUGGCCCUCAGUGGCAACACUGGCUGGGACAUCACUGUGGCCUCAGGUGGCAGUGCAGGCUACUGGCACCAGGCAGUUCCUCUUCACUGUCAGUCUUCAGAGCUGCCUCUCUUCGUAGUGUCACACUGUUCCACGUCUCUCUGUCACGUAUCUGUUCAUUGUAGUGCUCUGGCACAUGCUAUAUCAGCAGUGACAUCUUCUGAAUGGUAGGAUGGUUAAAUGUUUGUCUGCCCAAAGAUUCCAAGGGAAAUAGUGCCUGGCCAACGUUGAACACAGCACAGGAAACUGUCAUCAACAGAGUUGUCCAGCCUCCUGGUUCAACCUCCACCAGCCAACUACAGAGACGAGCAAAGGCCAGUGGCGAGAAGCAAGCACAGCAGGACAUGUCCAUCAGCCGUGCUCUGCACUCUGCAAGACCACGUCCUGGGCUGGGAUGCAGCUCUGGGAGUCACAGUGACUGACGUGAUGGUUGGUUUUUCUCAAAGGAAGAAGGCGUAGGCCGCUGGCACAUCGUCUGGUACGGGCUCCACUGAGGGACAUAUAGUUCGCCAUUUCCCAAGGAGUAAGAACUAUAGUAGCCCUGUACCACACAGGCCUGCAGUGUUGGCUCAGUGCUUCCUGGUAUGCCCAGGUCUAUUUGCAAAUUUUUUACAUUUAUUGAUUUGCUUAUAUUGAACCAUCCCUUUAUUUCAGGGAUAAAAGUCACUUGGUCAUGUUUUAUAUCCUUUUGGAUACAUAUCUGUAUUCUGCUUACAAGUGUUUUAUUAAGCAUAUUAGAGUCUAUGUUCUUCGGGUCCAUUGGCAUGCAGUGUUCUUUUCUGUUGUUGGCUGUGUAAACUAUCUUUUGUGACACGGUGGACCUGUGGGGAGUGGGAAAGAGGCUCUCUCCUCCUCUCCUCCUCUGUGAACCUGUUAGGUCUGGUUGCUGAGUCAGAGAUGACGGACGGGAUAACACUUGUGUAUACAUCCUUGCCCUGGACUCCUGACGUAUUCGUUAUGUGUCUCAGGCUUUGGAGGUGGUGUUGUCUUCUUAGAGUGCUAUUCUAGACAUGCUAGAAAUGACAUAAGACAUUAAAAGUCAUCUGUGAUAUUUAUAACUCUGCCUUUGUAGCAAGGGAAGGCAGGGCUUUAGCUCUGAAAAGAAUGAUUUUCACUCAUACCUUGAAUAAUUUUUGCAUUUCUUUUCAGCAAAGGACACUGCUCCUGUGGCUCUUGCAAAGCCUUUACUAUGUUGUAUAGCGGUGGGCAGUGUCUUUGCUGCUGGCCUGCUCUGGCUGAUUUGUAAAUCUAGUGUAAAUAAGCUACCUUCGUAAUCGCCAUUUAAAUCUCCCUCUGGAUUAUCUGUGCAGCCGUAAUGUUUACUGACAUGCCUUCCUGUGAUGUGGUUCUUAAUUGGGAAGCACAUCUUAUAAGAGAAUUAUAGCCUCUGAAUAGGAUAACUCCUGUGGUUUGAGGGUUCCACAAAGGAAUUCAUUGGCAUUAGCAACCCAAACAGAUUUAUUUCCUAACACUUGUCCCAGAGGCUCUAAACUAUUGCUAUAAAACCUAGAAGAGGCCUGCAGGAAGUACAUUCUGAAGUUACCCAGAUUUAUUUCUGGGUUAAUUGGUUAUUCUGUAUUUUUCUAGAAAGCCAUGAAUUAUGUUCUUUAGAAUAUAGAUGUGCAGUUAGUCACCAGACCUAUAUAGAAUACAGAAUAGUAUAGAUGGAGGCGGACGUAAUAGAACAGGCUACUCUCUUCAUUCUGCUUAGUGUGGCAUUGUAUUUAGAGACUCAGUUGGUAAAGUGUUGGUAAAACUUAAGAAUAGAGGCCUAAGUCCAUAUAGUGACAUCAUCAUCACCACCCAAAUGAAUGCUGGGAGUGGGGGCUUUUGCACAUCUGCAGCCCCAGGGCUAGGGUUGUGAGGUGGGAGCCAAAGACACAUGGGUCCUCAGAGUUAACUCAGGAGCUGAUCUAGUCACCCUCUCUCAAAAACAAAGGUAGACACUGACGGAGGAAGACACCCAGUAUUGACAUCAUACAUACACACACAUACACAACACACAAAAAUAAUAACAUAACUAAUCAGCUUCUUGGCGAUAUAGAAGCUAGAAAACAUGGCAAAACAUAGCAGUGUACCUCGCAGUGGGUGGCUUGUCAUGGCCAGCAGCUGACAGCUGCAUCUGUUUCCCACUAGGGACCUUCCCCGUAUAGUCGUGCCUCACUCGCACUAAGUCAUUUGCAGUUCCUAGAGGCUUCUGGGAGGGAAGGCGCUAGAACAAUGAGAAGCACGAUAUUCAUGGGAUUUCCAACAGGUCACAUCAGAACACACCCAUUUCUUCUGAGAAUAUUUAAUAAUUAGAAAUGUUAGACACCAAUAAAGCCAAUUUGUAUUUAAAAUAAAAAUUAAAACAUGUAUAAUGUAAAUCCAGACAACAGUCUUUUGGAAGACUAUAACUGGAGAUUUUAGGAAAUUUAAUAUAAUUCACUACUGUAAGAAAAACUACGUUCAUAGUUAUUUUGAUUUUCUCAUGGACAGGACUUUGGAGGAAAAUGUUGACUACUCUAGGUGCAUUAGAGGGCUAAAAGUACAUUUUGACAUUUGUAUCUGCACCUUUAGUGACCUGCUAUAGUCGAAAGAAGGAAAGAGAGAGAGUGAGACAGAGACGGGGAGAGAGAGGGAGGGAGGGAGGGAGGGAGGGAGGGAGAGAGAGAGAGAGAGAGAGAGAGAGAGAGAGAGAGAGAGAGAGAGAGAGAACGAACAGUGGGAUUAACAAUAUUUAGAAUGUGGAAACUGCUACAGCAAAGCCUGAGUUGUGGGUUCCUGGCAGAAACUAAGGGAAGGUUUUAAUCUGUCCUAGGAAUAACUGAGCAGUCAUCAGGAAAAGAAAAGUGCCACACAAAAGUGAAGUAAAGGCUGCUCUACAAAGUAAACUUACAAGACAAGGCCCCAGUGUAUUCUGCACAUGUACAGUACAUAUAAGCUCUGACGUUUCCACUAUCUAGGAAGUAUGUUGAAUACUUAGGAAUUUAAGGAAUUGUAUGUUACAGUGAAGUCAAGGAAAAAAAAAAAAAAGACCAGAAAUAGCCUUUGAUUGUGCUGCACAGUACCAGGUACAGGUUCUCAGUGGCUAUGGGCAGGGCUUUGGGCAGGCUCAGUUGAAUGCAGAAAAACAUUCAAAUAUAGAUUGGAUGGCAUGUGGUAGUGGUGGCACUGGAGUGGCUUUGACCAAAAUUAAUUAAUUAAAAUUAAUUCUGUGCUUGAAAUCUUUCCCUGACAAUUCUGUUUUGAGUGUCUUUAACAACAAUGUAACGUUUCCAGACCACUUCUCUGGGUGACUCUUCAUGAGUGUAACCGAGCUUGUAGAGUGGACUCAGGCCAGCUCAUCUGCUUCAGCAGACAGAUACCCUGUCGGGGGGAGGGUUGCCGUGCACACUGAGCAGCCAUCCACACAGUAGCCUGGUGGUCUGUGGCCUGCGAGUACAGCGCUUCUAUCUAGACUGGACUGUGGCGUGGGGUUGCUUAUCUCUCACUUCUUGCAUUGCUGAUGAAAUGACUGAAAAAUUAAAUGAUAAACAUUGCCCACAGUCAAUAGGAAAUGUUUCUUUUCUUUCUUUCUUUUUUUCUUUCUUUCUUUUUUUUUCUGCUUGAAUUUCUUUGUGAGAAUCUUACUAUAUAAUCCAGACUAAUCUCAAACCCUUGAUCCCCUUGUAUGUUUUCCAAGUUCUGGGAUUAUAGCCCAGCUUAAAGUUAUAGCCUGUGUCAUAUUAUGAGACUUUGUCUCAAAACAAACAAACACACACCAAAGGAGCACUUCUUCUAAGGAAAGAUCUGUAAUCACGUGAUUUCACCUACCUCAGCUCUUUAAUUCCAAGGACUUUGACACUGCUCAUGUUCUUGGUCAUCCAGAGCUAAUUGAGACAUUUGCUUACUUUGUAAUUUUUAACACCUACAGCAAUAUUAGAAGGAGCCGUAAGGACUUCCCUCUUCUUCCUAUCUGUGUGAGAGAGGGGUGUGUGUGCGCGCGUGUAUGUGUGUGUGUGUGUGUGUGUGUGUGUGUGUACACAUCUUAUGUUUUAACUUCUCCAAAAUUCUAUAGGAAUUUUUCAUAAUUUUUUAUGAAAACUGAAGUUUAUUUCAUACACAUUGAAAAGAAGAAAGUUAUUUUGUAUCCCCUUGAUAUGUAAGUAGCACAUCAAUUAAGUAUACCAUUUUAUUAAGUUAUCUAUUCAAAAUGAUGUUUUAACUUUUAAAAUAUAUUUUAUCUUAUGUAUAUUAAUGUUUACAUAAACAUGUAUGUAUACCACAUGUGUGCCUGUUGCUUUCGGAGGACAGAAGAGUGUGGUGCGUCCUCUGGAGCCACUGUGUGUGUGCAGAGAACUGAGCCCAGGUCAUAUGGAAGAGUAGCAACUGCUCCUAACCUCUGCUAUGUUUCUGUCUCUUAAGAUGAUAUUUUAAUAAAUAUUUUAUCACAUUUAAGUCACUAUAGCUUUAUGUUUAAGUACGGCUUGAGAUUUGCCAGCCAAGGGUGAUAUAAUUUAAUUAAUUCUGAAGACUGAGGCUUGUUCUCCUAACCCAUUUUAUCCUGUGAUGAUCAUUACCAUAACAAGAUUUAAUUUGGUGUCACUUUGAAUUCAGGCAAUGAUAUCAAACUGUUCAAUGGAAUUCUCUGGUGACUGGGACCACUCAGCAACAGCUGUUACACUACCUGCAAGAGGAGUCUGCCAGCGUGUUAGCAAAGGCAGCCCGAUGUGCCAUUCAAGUUCUCACAGAUUAGUUCCCGCCUGUCCUCAGCACAGGCUGCACACCGCUGUGAUGGGGUGAUUACAGGACUCUUCUGAGGCAAUUCCAUGGAACAAAGUGGAUUUGGCAUGGAGAACUAGGAUAGGAGAAAAUCAUUCAUCUGGUUUUUCUGCUUUGCAAUGUCAGGCCAGUUUAGGGGCCUUCUCAUGCUAUUAGUAUUCAUACUGUGUGUGUGUGUGUGUGUGUGUGUGUGUGUGUGUGUGUGUGUGUGUGUGUGUGUGUAUGUGCGUGUGUGUGUGUGUAAGAGCACACACAUAAACAUAUACUCUUGUGUAAAUUAUAUUUUAAAAAAUUAGUUAACUGACUUUUCAUCCCCUGUACCUAGUCUAUCUUUGUCUACCUUUGUUAAAGUAUUUCAUUAGCCCAAAAGAAAAUUAAAUUUAAAAAUAAUAUUUAAGGACUAGGAAGAUGGAUUGGCAGUUAGAGAGUUGUGUCAGGUACACUUUAUCUCUCAGCAGUCACACGCAAAGACAGAGGAACACAGAGAACUCUGGGCCAAGAGGGGACAUCACCUCUGAGUUUAAUGAAAGGUCCCUUUCAAUCUCAUAAAACUGCAAAGCUUCUGUAAGGCAAAGGACACUGUGGUUAGGACAAAACGGCAACCAACAGAUUGGGAAAAGAUCUUUACCAAUCCUACAACAGAUAGAGGCCUUAUAUCCAAAAUAUACAAAGAACUCAAGAAGUUAGACCGCAGGGAAACAAAUAACCCUAUUAAAAAUGGGGUUCAGAGCUAAACAAAGAAUUCACAGCUGAGGAAUGCCGAAUGGCUGAGAAACACCUAAAGAAAUGUUCAACAUCUUUAGUCAUAAGGGAAAUGCAAAUCAAAACAACCCUGAGAUUUCACCUCACACCAGUGAGAAUGGCUAAGAUCAAAAACUCAGGUGACAGCAGAUGCUGGCGAGGAUGUGGAGAAAGAGGAACACUCCUCCAUUGUUGGUGGGAUUGCAGACUGGUAAAACCAUUCUGGAAAUCAGUCUGGAGGUUCCUCAGAAAAUUGGACAUUGAACUGCCUGAGGAUCCAGCUAUACCUCUCUUGGGCAUAUACCCAAAAGAUGCCUCAACAUAUAAAAGAGACACGUGCUCCACUAUGUUCAUUGCAGCCUUAUUUAUAAUAGCCAGAAACUGGAAAGAACCCAGAUGCCCUUCAACAGAGGAAUGGAUACAGAAAAUGUGGUACAUCUACACAAUGGAAUAUUACUCAGCUAUCAAAAACAACGAGUUUAUGAAAUUUGUAGGCAAAUGGUUGGAACUGGAAAAUAUCAUCCUGAGUGAGCUAACCCAAUCACAGAAAAACACACAUGGUAUGCACUCAUUGAUAAGUGGCUAUUAGCCCAAAUGCUUGAAUUACCCUAGAUCCCUAGAACAAACGAAACUCAAGACGGAUGAUCAAAAUGUGAAUGCUUCACUCCUUCUUUAAAUGAGGAAAAAGAAUACCCUUGGCAGGGAAGGGAGAGGCAAAGAUUAAAACAGAGACAGAAGGAACACCCAUUCAGAGCCUGCCCCACAUGUGGCCCAUACAUAUACAGCCACCCAAUUAGACAAGAUGGAUGAAGCAAAGAAGUGCAGACCGACAGGAGCCGGAUGUAGAUCGCUCCUGAGAGACACAGCCAGAAUACAGCAAAUACAGAGGCGAAUGCCAGCAGCAAACCACUGAACUGAGAAUAGGACCCCCGUUGAAGGAAUCAGAGAAAGAACUGGAAGAGCUUGAAGGGGCUCGAGACCCCAUAUGUACAACAAUGCCAAGCAACCAGAGCUUCCAGGGACUAAGCCACUACCUAAAGACUAUACAUGGACUGGCCCUGGACUCUGACCUCAUAGGUAGCAAUGAAUAUCCUAGUAAGAGCACCAGUGGAAGGGGAAGCCCUGGGUCCUGCUAAGACUGAACCCCCAGUGAACUAGACUGUUGGGGGGAAGGCGGCAAUGGGGGGAGGGUUGGGAGGGGAACACCGAUAAGAGGGGGUCGGGGAUGUUUGCCCGGAAACCGGGAAAGGGAAUAACACUCGAAAUGUAUAUAAGAAAUACUCAAGUUAAUAAAAAAAAAAUAAAAAAAAGAAAAAAAGAAAAAAAAAUGAAAGGUCCCUUUCUCAAAACUGUUCUCUAUCAUGCCUAUAGGGCAUGCUGUGAGAACUCAUAGAAAUGUAAUAUAAAAUAGUGAAAUAUUGUCAUUCAAAAACAAAAAUUAAAGUUUUAAAACGCAUCCAUUCCUUCUUAUCUCAGGAAAUACAUUGGGCAGUAUUAAAAAGAGCUGGUGUCCUUACAGCAUUUUCGUUCUUUUUUCUGAAAACCCAUCAAGUCCAUCCCUCGCUCUGUCUUCUCACAUCCAGAAGUCACUGAGACGUUAGUACUGAAUAGGCCCUGAGAUGCUCCUUCCCCCGAGCCCUCCCGUCCCUCUCUGGUCUCCCCUCCCGUCCCUCUCUGGUCUCCCCUCCAGUCCCUCUCUGGUCUCCCCUCCCGUCCCUCUCUGGUCUCCCCUCCCGUCCCUCUCUGGUCUCCCCUCCCGUCCCUCUCUGGUCUCCUCUCCCGUCCCUCUCUGGUCUUCUCUCCUGUGCUCUGCAUUGAUUCCCUGUCAUUUGGGUGUGGCAUGUUCAUGUGCAUGAUUAUCAGUCCAAGCCUAGCAUAGACUCUUCUAAGGUAGGUCUCCUGUGAUGUUUACACAAGAUAAAUGUGGAUUUGUUGUUUCGAAAAAAAAUUUUGCUUGUCACAUGAAUAAAACUGAAUUUAUAAAAUGAUUUGAUUAUCCUGAGCUGGUCUCAGACUCACUGUGAGCUGAGGAUGUCCUUGAGUAAAGCAAACGUUUUAAAUAUUUACAUAUUUAUAAUUAUACAGAUUAAUGAUUGACUUUUAGAAAUUUAGUUUACAUAACUUUAUAAUGGUAGUUAUGUUUGUGAUAGGCAGCUGUUUCACUUCAUCUAAUCUUCUAUCUGAAGAGUAGCAUGUAUGUCCCAAAUAAACUGUGGGACACAGUACAUUACCUUCUUCCCAUAAGAAUAAAUGUAGAAUCUGAAUAUCGUAUGUGACCUAGAUCAGCAUCAUAAAAGUCAGUGUUCUUUAGCACAGUUAUUGUCUCAGUCUGAACUAGAGUUACACGGAUAGGAAGGUGUCGUCAGCAAACCCCACAAGUUCUACCUGUGGGUUAUAAUUGUCGCUUGUACUCAUAUAUUGUGGGAUUAAAGCACUUUCUUUUCCAUGUGGUCAGUUAUUCCACCUCACUGCCGGAGUGUGAGAAUACUCUUGGGCAGGUGAAAUGGGAGGUGCUCACUGGGGUGCCUGCUUGGCUGUUCUGUCUUGCCGCCGGGGUGUGGGACUCAUCUGGACAGAUUAAACGCUGAACUAGACUAUGUUUUACCCUACGGCUGGGCUUGUGGGGACCACUGAUGGCACUCAGGAGUGGGAGAACACAACCUUGGGUGGGGGCAUCAGCCAGAGUAAGAAAUGACAUAGUCUGAGGCCAAAGCUGGGGUUCCCUGACUCCUGGGCGUCCAGUCACCUUUGAGGAAGAGCCUGGGGUGGGUUUGGGGGGUGUCCCCAAACUCCUGGACAUCCAGACUGCACCAGAAGUUGCAGGGAGCUGGGAAUGGAAGGGACCCACAUGCUGACGACAGUGAGCCCGGGCCAGGGUAGCUCAGUGGUAGUGAGUCCAGGAGGGCAGACUGCAAAUGUCUCCUGUGGGAGACUUAAGCAGCACAACUCUGUAGACGAAGGCUUUCUCCAUGCUCCCUGUGGCAGUUCUUGAUGAGAGAGACAGUCCUUGGUUCUAAACUGUUUAUUGACUGUUCAUUGUGGCAAAUGGGUGCAUAGCAUAACCUCCUCAGGGUGGACCAGAGAGUAAACACCUUUUGCAGGAAGGAGUGUCUGGGAAGGGAAGCUUAUUGGCUAAAGCCUCGGUCUCUAGAUCUCUCAUUGGCAUGGAGAACCUGUUCUGGACUGUAUGACCAUUGUCUCACCCCUUUAUGGAGAACGUGGUCACAUGUUCUGGGCCGGGAAUCUUGGUAGGGAGCAAGGAGAGGCCUACUCUCCAGGUGAGUGCCUAGGUAGCAGGGUCUCUGAACCCGCUCAACCUUAUCAAAGGUUCCACUACCCCACAACCGUGGCUGUCCUCGGGAUUUCAUUUCCUCCUUUGACUUUUCUCUACUAAGUGAUCCAUGAAAUGAAAAUAUUAUUCUGAACUUAAUUAUAGUAUGAAUGGGAGUUUAGCUUUCUUUAUAACCUGAUUAAGAAGGAUAUUGACUAUAGUAGCUAGAAACUUCCCAAAUACAUGAGGUAUUAUAAAUUUAAGGCUCACUCAGCCACAUUUAUUUAAUCACUUUACUAAGACUUGUAAUGUAUAUUUUUAUCUUAUUUUUAAAGUGUUUACUAUAAAACAUGUACUAUUUUAGGUGCUAUCUUACUGUGGCUUGGUUACUAUUACACACUAUCUGACACUGAAUAAUCUGUAAGGAAGAGAAGCUUACUCUUACUUAUAGUUCUGGAGAUUGGAAAGCCAGGGUAUGGGACCUGCAUGUGCACAGCACCUGGUAAGAGCCUUCCUGCGGUGUCACGGCACGGCACAGAAUGUCACAUGCUGAGAUAGAACAAGCAUGCUGUAUCGAAUCUCUUUUCUGAUAAAUGUACACAUGCCACCAUGGGCAUUAGUACUCACUACUCCUCCUAAUUCUGAACACUUGCCAAAUACCUCAUUCAAACGCCAUUUACAUAAGAAUUUUAGGAUCAAAUUUCUAGCAUGAACUUUUAGGGAAGGUAGUCUAGCCAUAGCAAGUGCUAAGAGUGCCAAGAGUGAUGCUGGUGUUUCCUUCCUUCCUUCCUUCCUUCCUUCCUUCCUUCCUUCCUUCCUUCCUCCCUUCCUCCCUUCCUCCCUUCCUCCCUUCCUCCCUUCCUCCCUUCCUCCCUUCCUCCCUUCCUCCCUUCCUCCCUCCCUCCCUCCCUCCCUCCCUCCCUCCCUCCCUCCCUCCCUCCCUCCCUCCCUUUCUUCCCAGAUUCAUUUCUUUGGUUCUGGGUGUUUUGUCUGCACGUAUGCCUGCACAACAUAAGAGGGCAUUUUGGGACCACAGUUAGAGAUGGUUGUGAGCCACCAUGUGGUUGCUGGGAUUUGAACUCAGGACCUCUGAAAGAACAGUCAGUGCUCUUAACCACUGAGCCCAUCUCUCCAGCCCCACUGGUUCUUUCUUAAGGAGUUUAUGGGCUCCAUGAAGGCACACUCAACUGUAUUAUGACUUAAUGAAUCUGUAGUAGAAGUACACAUAAAUGCCAUGAGAGCACAGAUGAGUUUCAGUUCUGGAUAGAUUAUGUAUAAGAAAACUUUCACAGACCUAUUGGGCAUCUUGAUUUAUUCAUUGGAGAAAUGUUUAUUAAAGUCUCUCAACCGAUUUUAAUUGGAUGAUUAGUUUUUGCAACCUCAUGUAUGUAUGUUGUCCAUCCAUAGUGUGGAUGUCAACUCUUUUACAGAUGCUUUCUUCUGCUCAGUGUGCUCCCUUCUCACACUGCCGAGUGUACCCUGUGUUCUUCGGUUAGUGCGGUGCUGUGUACCCUGUGUUCUUUGGUUAGUGCGGUGCUGUGUACCCUGUGUUCUUUGGUUAGUGCGGUGCUGUGUACCUUGUGUUCUUCGGUUAGUGUGGUGUUGUUCACUGAGUUGGAUUCUGAGGUCUGUGUUUCCUGUGUACAUCCAUGAAAUUAAUGAUGACCAGUGUCAUGUUUUACAGUGUUUAAAUCUUCAAUCCAGUCCCCCCCGUGUGUGUGUGCGUGUGUGUGUGUGUGUGUGAGAGUGUGUGUGAGUGUGUGUGUGUGUGUGAGAGAGUGUGUGUGAGUGUGUGUGUGAGUGUGUGUGUGAGAGAGUGUGUGAGUGUGUGUGUGUGUGUGAGAGAGAGUGUGUGUGAGUGUGUGUGUGAGAGAGAGUGUGUGUGAGUGUGUGUGUGAGAGAGAGUGUGUGAGUGUGUGUGUGUGUGUGUGUGUGUGAGAGAGAGAGAGUGUGUGUGAGUGUGCAUGCAUGUGGUAUUUUGUGAGUUGGUUCUCUCCUUCCAUCAUGGGACAUGUGACCUUGGGAUAGAAGAACUCAGGUCUUCAGGCUUUUGCUGCAAAUGCUUUUACCACUGAGCCAUCUUACCUCCCCAUUCUCACGCAUUUACAUCCACUGUGCUAGCAUAGUUUGUCUAAGAGACUACUGUCCUUUCCCAUGGAGUAUUGCUGUAUUCCUGCUGAAGUCGUUUGACAUGUACCCAUGGAUUUAUUUCUAGGCCUUGGUUCAUUUGCCUCUGUAUGGAUGAUUUUGUGGUUUUAUUUAUAGUGUUAUUCAAAGAACAGUGAUUAUAGUUUCUUAUAAAGUCUGGUUUAUGAAGACCAAGGUCACAGAUUAUUAUUUCUCUGUUCUCUUUUAGAAGUUUCAUGUUUUUACAUUUUGUUGUGUUAUAUGCUGAGUUUGUAUAUGGUGUAAGAUUUCAAUGAAGAGUUUUCUUAGGUAUUUUUGACAUAUACUAACAAGAUAAGCAUUGUUUGAUUAAAAGGAUUCUCGUAUCUCCUUUCAAUGGUUGAGAAUGUAUGAAAUGGUAGUGAUGCUGGUUUCUCCUUGAGAGCAUUGUGAUAGAGAAGAGCCAGCCUCUUUAUUUUAUUUUAUUUUAUUUUAUUUUAUUUUAUUUUAUUUUAUUUUGUAAAAGCUGUAGUUGUGCUUAAUAAUCUCACCCUUCCCAGUGGAGUCCAGCUGUCAGCACAGUGUUCUGUCCUGGAAACAUGUGCAUACUUAAUGUGCUGCUUCCUCAGACAGGUAGCUUGGUGGGCUUGGCUGGAUAUGACAGUUACCUGAUGGUGCUCACCAGUUUACGAAGUAAGCAUAGAUCAAAUAUCAUAUGCCUUAAAUGUUUGCACUUUUACAUGUCAUAUUACAAAAAGUUAGAAGGUAUUAUCUACUGUAAUGCCUACUGAAAAUAACUUCUGAAACAUAAUUCCAUAGUCACAGGUCUUAGGAAGCACUCCUCUGUCACCUCAGAGGGGCUGUUCCCAGGCUUUCCCUGCUGCUUCUCUUGGAAGAGGAUGGAAAGAGUAAGGAAGAAGGGCAGUGGGAGGGAGGAUGGUUCCCAUGGUGAUGUCCUACCCUGUCAGUCUGGAGCACUUCUGCCACAACCUGGGGUUCUAAAGUGUGUUUUCUGUGUGGAUAGAGUCUGAGAUUCUCCCAAAGAUCUCUCUUUCUCUGGCAGGAGCAGUUCAGCCCCUCUUUGCAUAUCUGUUGUGCCAAGUGUGGUAACCUCUGCUCAGCCCCUUUCUAACUUCAGACCCGGCCAGAGAUCUGAACAAUGACUGUUUACUGAAGGGAGGAGCUGGUACUUUACAACACCUGAUAGUUAUUCAUACAUUUGAAAAUUUCACAUCUGUUUUUAAAAGCCAGAAAUAAUAUGAAUCUAAAACCAUUGUAACUUUGUUUCUAACUAAAUCUGAAAUGUGUUCAGUUCACCGUGACACAUCAUACAUUUUUAGUUAAUAAAGUUUCUUACAUUUUAGUUUUUAAGGGAAAUAAUAUUUUAGUUGGAUAAUUAUUAGACUUAUGCUGUAUAUGUUGAAAGCAUAAAAGAAUUGAAUGUUUUGCUUUUUAACAAAUAAAAGCUUCUUUGAUAGUAUUAGGUAUGUUACAGCAACUAUAAAUCCUAUCAGAAUAGAUUAGUUUGACAAACCAUUUUAAGUCUUUUGAGGUUUACCAUAGGAUUUUGAUUUAAGCUGUAUCUGAAAACUGACACAUUCACAUGAAUCUAAAGGGAAGAAUUAUCCCUGUACUAACAUAUAUUAAAAGAAACAAUGAUUUUAGAAACAUACUUGUGAUAUUUGAUAAUGAAAAUUAAUUUGGAAUUUCAGAAAUACACAAUUAAAAGCAGAAAUUUUAUUAUUUGCUAUAUGUAUGUCUUGUAAACAUCUUCUCAAGAACAUUUAGAAUUCUUAAACUUUCUUUCCAUAGUUAUAGCGAUCACAGCACUGGUUAGAGGUCCAUAUGUCUCAUUUUGACUCCACAGUAAAUAUCACCACUCCACUGAAUAAAUAAUUUUAUGACUACUAGUUUGGUCUUGAGACGUUUGACAAAGAGAGAGUAAGGUAUCCUGAAAAAAGCAUAAAGCAAAACACAAGUUGAAGCAAGGUUCUCUUCUUAAAUAAUGCAGGUGGCUCCUCUCUAAAGCACACUACUGUUUAGACAGCCAUGUGAAUUACAAAAAGGGUAGUCAAAUCUUAGACAAUUUCUGUUACAAAUUUGGCUUAAACAUGCAACAUUUUGCAUUUUGACAGCAUGUAUAUAUGAAUGUUCAUUUAUGCAAAUAGCAUCCUUUCUCUGGCUUGAGAGCGCUAAGUCUGCGUUCACUAAUUAUGAACUUAGUAGAGGGCUGUGGAUUGAAUGCAUGUUCCGUAAAAUUGAAAUCCUAAGCCUAGUGUGAUGCCAUGUGAAUGCCGGGCUGUGGCUGGCAGCUGGGAUUAGGCAGUUCAUGACCACAACGGUGUCAUGGUUAAUCACCUCAUUAAUAAAAGAAAUGGAAGGGGAGCUCUGUGUGCACUGCUGCCAUAUACAUGUGGAAUGAUUAGACGCCCAUCUAGAAAUAGAGAACACAGACCUCAUCGGUCACUAUAUCUACUAACACUUUGAUCUUGGACAUCCUAGCCUUCAGAUCUGUGAAAAAUAUUUACAUUUAAGCAAAUUAGGUUUUAGAAUGUGCUGUAAGAGCCAAACUGACUUAAGACUUACACAAUAGGAUGGAUAAAGAAUAUAUUGAGAUGGUAGCCCCAGAUACAUACCAUUAUUUAAAUAUGAGACACAGCCCUUAGAGAAAAGUGCAGAAAACUAUAAAGUACACACACAGCAAAAAGAAUGCAAGGUAUCCACUCCUGUUUACAACAGUAAGCUGUAAAGCCUUUGGGAGUAACUUAGAAGAAGGCCAGAAGAGAAUUAGAAGAUACUGAGCAUGUAUUACUGAAUGAAAAUGACUAAGUUAUAUGUUAGGCUAAUACUUAUUUUUAAAAUCAUAUGAAGAUUUUAUCAGUAGUUAGUUUUGAAUGCUGAGUUUACACCUGAUUUUCCUUACUUGUUCUUUCAUUUUAUGUGUCAAACAGUGAAUCGUGCAUUACUGUGUUGUUCAGAAACCAACUGAUAUUUAUCCAGGGUGAGACCAUGGAGUAAAGCCAGGCGUGUGGAAGAGUUUGGUCAGUCAGACCUUACUGCAGGAUGUACAAGAAAAUGCUGGUCAGUCACAAAGAGCUAGAGAACAUUUUCACCAUCUUCCUAGUCUCUGUAAGAACACCUCAGGGGCUGGGGAUUUAGCUCAGUGGUAGAGCGCUUACCUAGGAAGCGCAAGGCCCUGGGUUCGGUCCCCAGCUCCGAAAAAAAGAACCAAAAAAAAAAAAAAAAAAAAAGAACACCUCAGGCCUUUCACCCCCUAUAUUUAACUAGCAUUUGGCCGUGGGACUGCGCUCCUGAAGCAUACUUCCCACAAAAAGAGCACAGUGUUAACCGGUUCUGCAUUGUGUCCUGUCAGUGGUUGAUUGUGAGGUGAAAUGGCAGUUGUUUUGUGUAGGUAAGUCUGUAAUACAGAUGCAGAGGGCUUUGUUCUUUAGCAGUCAUUACCAUGCCCACGAAGAGCCAAACAAAUUUUAUUUAGGAAAACCCAAGUUGGGAAUCAGAGAAAAUAAUCUCCUCAGUGGAGAACUGUUAUUAGCCAGAUGAAACUUAAAGUAGGUUUACUGCGGGAGUUUGUCUUUACAUCUGCACUAUAGUCCCAGCCUGGUGCCGGCCCUAAAGUUCAAUGAAUCUUGACAAGCAUUGGCUUGAUUUCAGCGGCUAUAUGAUGCUAAGAAUCCUUGACAAGUAAGAAAAACUAGUUUUUAAAAAAUUUCAUCUAGGUGUUUUAUUCAAAUUAGUACAAAUAAUGUUUUCUUUUCUCUAUCUAAUACAAAAUCAAUUGUUGAGAGCAAUCUUAAGAUUGGGGCCUAGCUGUGCACAAGGGAAUACUCUUGUAAGCUGUGAUAAAAAUAAGAAUAAAUAAAUAAAUAAAACCUCAUUCUGCUUGCCCUUUGAAUACAAACUAAAAGCACGUGAUUCGGUAGUUGGAAUGUUUGCUAGGAGGGUUUAUGUAAUUUAUAUACAAAAAAGAAUUAAAUCGUUAAAGAAUGAGUUUUGGAACAGAAUGUAUAAGGUAUAUACAUACUGUUCUGGCUGCAAAAUAUGAAAUUUAACAUGUGUCAAUGAAAUAUAUAAAUAAUAAUUAUGUAGUCCUAAAUAAAAGUAAUCAUGCAUUUAAAUUAUACCCAUAUAUAAAGACGUGUGUGUGUGUGUGUGUGUGUGUGUGUGUGUGUGUGUGAAGGAAAGAAAAAAAUUUUAGCCUUUUCCACUGAUUAUAGGUAAUGUAAUUCAAAUUAUAAGAAACUAUAUUCAAUAAAAUUUCAGGAAAAUAUAUUUGCAAGAAGUGUCUUGAUACUGAAAUGUGUUGAGUCUGUGGUAUCAUGGAAUUGUUUUGAAGGAGAUUGUAGAAGUCACUGUAAUGUGUGAUAGCUCCAUGAGCCUCACUCUGUCAAGUACUCCCCUGUGCAUGGGUGUGCAAGGUGUCAUACCCAGAUGGCUUCUCACUGUUCACUUGGCUGUUAUCAGAAUGAAUGUGAGUUCACACUGGCUGUGAUCAGAAUGAAUGUGAGUUCACACUGGCUGUGAUCAGGAUGAAUGUGAGUUCACACUGGCUGUGAUCAGGAUGAAUGUGAGUUCACACUGGCUGUGAUCAGGAUGAAUGUGAGUUCACACUGGCUGUGAUCAGGAUGAAUGUGAGUUCACACUGGCUGUGAUCAGGAUGAAUGUGAGUUCACACUGGCUGUGAUCAGGAUGAAUGUGAGUUCACACUGGCUGUGAUCAGGAUGAAUGUGAGUUCACACUGGCUGUGAUCAGAAUGAAUGGGAACCUGUUUUUGUUGCCUAUACCAGCCCCUCCUUUAAUGUUUUUAAUUAAUGUGUUUCUCCUGUAUUCAGGAAGUCACUAAUGACAUUUGAGGAGAGGAAGCUUGUUAGCUUCCUUCCUGACUAUGCAGCUUUUAUUUUUUAUUGAAAUUGUGGUCUCAGCCAAAAACCAGUUGGUGGAAGGAAGGAGUCAUGAAUGAAAAGCAGAGGGAGAAAAGCCAGGGAGGGUUUGUAAGGGGAAGAGAGGAAAGCAUCAGUAAACUGGUCAUGCAGAUAUCAAGUUCCAUAAAAGGCUCAGCUCUGACACAAACACUGCCAUCUCAUCCCUGCUGCUGUGCAGGAGCACGAGGAGCACAUGUGAUGACGAGGAGCACAUGUGAUGACGAGGAGCACAUGUGAUGGUUCUGUCAUGGAAUUUUACAUGAUGAUUUUCUUGUUACGUUUUUAUUUUUCAUUUAACAACUAGAAGGCACCUGUUUCUAUAAUGGUCUUGACAAGUUUCCUUUUUCAUUUCCUGCUUUGCGAACCUUAAGUUCUACAUUAUGUGGUUUAAUCAUAGUCAACGCACCCUAACUUUUCACAGAUCCAUCCCCUUCCCUAUCCACCUGAGUCUGUGUCUUUGGAAAAACGCUUACAAGGCCAAUUUACUCUCCGAUAUUGAAAAUGUUCCCCACUCUAUGGUCUUGACCUAGAGAGGGUCCCUUUCCUGGGGCUGUCACUAACAGCGACAAAGUGCUCCAUAGCUAAGGGAGGGCUGUGUGCCUGCCUCCCGUUCCCCAGCCAUGCUGGGCCUCCUUCUGCCUUCACUGUGUGCUUGGCUGCCCUGAAGACGCCCCAGCUCUACCUUCCUUCCAUCCCUUCUCCUCUAACGAUCUCUGAGCCUCAGAGAGGACGUGUCCUCUGUGUCCUCGGGUAGGAGUCUCUGAAUUAAUCACCAUCCACUGAAAAUAGAAGCUUUUGUGGUGAAGUUUGGGUGAUAGAGAUAUGUGUGAGUGUUGUGAGUGAAGCACAUGUCUGAUGCAAAGAUUCACAGGUGAGGGAAACAAGUCUGUGUCACUUCAUUCAGGAUUGUUUUCAGCCCUAUCAGUUUACCUACAAAUCUAUUUACCUACAAAUUUCAUAAUUUUACUUGUAUUAAUAAUCUGAACAUCAUCCAUUUGUGCAGACAUAUCACAUUUUCAUUAUUCACUUAUUUCUGUAACUUUGGAAGUUUAUUUCAGUGGGGAUCUAUGUUGAUAAUCUAUUUGGGAAAUGGUACAGGUCCUUGGCACAUAGUUCAGGCUGGACUUGAACUUGUGGUUUUCCUGCUUUCCCCAGUGCUGUCUGUGGUUAUGGGUAUGGUUUGAAGUGCCGACCUGUCUGUUGCUGUUGAGUAGAGACAGAGAUGGGGCAGAGUCCUCAUGGAAUAAAGUGGCCCCUCCCGAGCUGUUCUUAAAGGUGAAAGACAGCUGUGGUAGCGUAACCUUCUGCAGGACUGAGUACUGCACGUGUUAGACUGUACACUCUCUGUUCGUCAGACAUCAGAUAUUUGGCUUAUCCUCACAGGUGUGCUUUAAAUCCUGUUCUGUAUGAAGUAAGGAAAAAUACACCAAUAUUUCAGAAGGAUCUUUCCCUCUCUCCUUUCCUUUUAAAAUAAAUUUCUUUUCUGGAAUAUUCUCCUCAUUUUUAGGAGCGAUCUCCCAUCCUUUGUGAUUUAUGUCAAUAUUCUGGCUGUCUAAAAGAAAGUAGACCAUGAAAGGUCAUUGUAGAGAUGGGAGUCAUGAGGGAAGGAGUAUGACUCAUAUGUCCACUUCCUUCGAAUAGCCGAGUAGGGAGGUACACUGUCUGUCGGACAAUAGGUGAGGAGGAGAAUUCACUUUCCCGGGAUGGUGGGCAGUUGUACGGCCCUCACCAGCUCUUGAAUUCCCCCAGUUUGCUGUGGCCCCGGCAGUCUGCUGCCUCCCUCCCUCAGCAGCUCUGGUCAGUAGUCAGUGUCAUCCUUUCAGAGAAAAAUAAACUAUGUGGUGGUUAAUAGAUUGUUGUCCAAAUGGAUAACAAAAAAAGUUUAUCAGACAUGAAUUUAUUCUCUUUUUUGCUCUUUAUAAUUAUUAAAACUUUAACUGCUUGAAUCACAGGCUAAGUAGAAACAAAUAAAUCAUCCAAAUUUGCAUUUCUCUUCUGCCACUCUUUCUGUCCUGCAACAAAACAAAAGAGAGUAAUCUGGACUUUCCCUCCCUCGUAAUCUCCUGCCACUGGGAAAGUCACGUGAGCGAGAGCAUAGCAGUCUCAGUAGUUUCGUAGCUAGUUAAACAUUUCAGGGAACUUAAGAGAUCUUGAUGCAUUUUCCUUUUAAAAAUCAGAUAUAGAUGUUAAAAGACAGGAAAGUACCACACAGCAUUACACUUUCUCUUUCCUAGGACUCAUACGUUGUUUAGAGUAAAUUAUAAUGCCAGUGUUGUAGACGUUCAGAAAUUGAUAAACUCUUAUCCACAAUUUUUUGAAGUAUAAAUAAGGAACAAAAUCUUGAAAUCAAAUUUACAGUCUUAAGUUAAAAAGUAUUGAUAAUUUUACAGUGUGUGCUAAAGAAUCAAAUUGUCCCAUCCCACACAGAUAAAAAAUUGUUUUGAAGUUUACAUAAUUUAUGUAAAAUAAAACUAAAAAUAAAAAAAAUGGAUGAGAAUGAUCUUAAGCCACCAUUUAAACAUUUUAUAAAAUGUGGCUUUUAAUUUUUCCCUAAUAAGAAUCAUUUGGUAAAUCAUCGGAUCACCUGUUCUCACAUUCUUCUAUGUACUUUGACCAAAUUCUAGGAAGGAAGUCUAAGGCCCUGGGUAGAUUAGCUAGGUGGGAAGGCUGCUGUGGUUCCUAGGAGGGAAAUGCAGACUAGAAACAGUCAAUGUGCAAACAUAAAAAUUAAAAAGUUAUUAACAGACAAUACCAUGAACAAAAAUAGUUUUAGAAACACGGAUUUGCAUUCCAAAUGUCAGCAGAUGUUUAGAUAUAAGGUAAAAUUAAGUAUUAAUGUUUAUUUACAAUAACAAGGGUCAGAAUUUACAUUGAAAUUUGGUUCGUCAGCAAGGAAAGAAUAAGUAUUCAAUGGAUUGUUUUGUUCAGUUGAGCUGUGCAUCUGGACAUGGGUGCAUGUAACAAAAAGGAGGAAGACAGGAUGUCCUUUCCAAAGAAGAGUUGUCACUAGGAAAACAACACAGGAGAAAACAGAUAUUACAAAACCCACUUAAUGCAAGACUAUGGUACUUAAACACCUUAAUAAAAUGUUUUGAACAUUGUUCAUACUAUGUUGCAUACUGUAUAUUUUGAUUAUAUUAAUGCCCCAGGUCUAGUUUACAUCACUAUCCACCCAUCUUUGUGUCCUCAUUAAGUACAGUUUGUGCUGCCCAUAUUCUUGAGUGUAUAGCCAUCCACGGGCAGACUUAGGGCACUAGGGUCAAACCUGUAAAGAAAACUGACUCUCUCCCAGCAGCUGUCAACUACCAAUAUCCCCUCAGCUAGGAGUAGGAUUUCAUGUUCAGCUCCCCUCUCAGUGCUUGGAUUUUGUCUGGCUUGGCUUGCACAGGUAUCGUGUACUAAGUGUGUUAAUGUGUGACUGAUAUGUUGUAUCAAAAGCCACUGCUUUGUUGUAGUUACCCAAGGCUUCUGGACCUACAGGCUUUGCACCCCUCUUCUACAGUGAUACCUGGCCUCUGAGAGGAGAGAUGUGAUAUAGUUGUCCCAUUUAGCACUGAACACUACACCUUGGCCACUUGUGUCUCCUUGUAUUAAUUGCUAUCUACUGCUUGGAUGAAGCUUGAGAGAUGCUCUAACUCAUGUUGUAGUACGAAUAUAACAAUAAGUCAUUGAGAGUUGGUUCAGUACUGUAUCAUUUAGCAGAAUAGUAGUAGCAGAUUCUUACCCCCAGGGCCUAGGACCUGCCUAGCCACACUUCUUGGUCCUGAUAACUUCUGGGUACCACUUUCAGCUUAUGGAUUGAGUGUUAAAUUCAGUCAGAAAGUGAUUGGCUGUUCUCAGGACAUUGUUGCCACUGUUGUACUGGUGAACAUGUGUCUUGCUGGACUAGUUGUUACUGUUGCUCAUAGCUGGCUGAGAAUAAUGAUUACCUUUCUUAUCCCACUAUGGCCACAGCCAUUCUAGCAGUAUGAAAGCCAACCAGUCGGAGGGAAACUCCCAACCAAACACCAGCUUGAUUUCUCCAAGCUUUAUGGCUUGAAGAUGAGGUGUCUUCAGCAACAGGGUCUUACCAUCAUGUUCUGGAGGGCUAGCCAAGAGUCUAAGCAGUAACCUGUCAUGUUGAGCACCUGUGGGGCACUAAAAGGAUAACCCAUUUCUGUCUAUGGUAUCUGGUCAGCACAUUUCCCUGUUUUAGUGUUCCUAUCCUGUACACACAAGCAGACACACAUACACACACACACACAGAGAAAGAGAGAGAAAGUUUGAAGCUUUGACCUUUUAAAUGUACUUAAUCCUAUACUUUUAUAUUACCAACAGUGAUUAGCGUGUUAGUAGUGAUAGCUGUGUGAGUGUAUACUGGUGCCUGAGCAUACUGAGUUGUUUACAUGUGUAGGUAUUUUACAUGUCAACAAUAUCAGUACGUAGCUGAAAUAAAUGAUCAGUAAAACAAAAUUUUAAUCUUAGUAAGAACUCAUUAAUUGAUGAAAUUUAUGCAGAUAACUCCUUUUUUCUUUGUAUACAUACUACCAAAUACCAUUGAUACAGAGAUACUGAGGUAUUCACUGUUAUUUGCAAAUGGCUACAGUUUGGGGCUGGAAAGCAGAUCCAUAUAAGGCACAGAAGUGACAGCCAGGCAGGCGACUCUGGAAAUAACACCCUAAACCCUGCUUAGAUUCGUGGCACAUAGUGAAUUUUUUUUUUUUUUUUUUGAGCUGGGGACCGAACCCAGGGCCUUGUGCUUGCUAGGCAAGCGCUCUACCACUGAGCUAAAUCCCCAACCGUGAAUUUUUUAAGAUUAAAAAAUGACAAUUAAGAUAACUGAGACUUGUAGAAGAUAUUUAAAUAUGUCAGUGAUAUGAUCACAGCAUAGCUAAUGGGCAGUGUGCUUGACACUGUUAGAACAGAAUGACUGACAGAUAAACUGAAGGGAGGAAGUCAAGUUCUGCCUAUCAGUGCAGUGCUGCCCUUCCUCCUGCAGUGCAGGGCUGACCAUCAGUGGUGACCUUCAGUGGUGUCACUGUGUCUCAUCUAGCAGAGUUAAUUUAUAGAUUUUUGUGCUUCUCACUUACCAAGUAUGGUUUUCAAAAUGCUUUCUCCUGGUAUGUGGCUAUCUUUAAUAUUCUUUUUUGUGGUGUUUUUUUGUAAAGGAAAACAUUUAACUUGACUGAGGCCCUAUAAGGAGUAAGAUCUUUCAAGGGACCACACCAUUGGCACCAUAUCCAAAGAGGCACAUGGUUUGUCUCCUGUUAGCCUCUUGGAGAUUGGCAAUUUUAUAGUUCUGCCAUUUAUACUCAGAUCUCUGACAUAUUUUAAAUUAACUUUCAUGACAGUCAUAAGGUACUGUGUUUCUUAACGUAUGGUGUGUCAGCAUUGUUGGAAACAUUGUCCUUUGUCAUUCUGUUGUCUUGACUCCAUUGUCUAUGGUCAGUUGAAUGUGUACAUCUGCUGUCACUGCCCUCCACAAGGCCAACACCACACUGUCCUGGGUGGUGUGUGUGUAGCAACUCUUGAAUUCAGGUUGUGUGAGUUACUCAGUGUGUUGAACAAUGUUUGACUAGUCCAGGUCUUUUCAUAUAAACCUUACAAUCAUCUCAGCAUAUUCACAGAACAAAUUGCUAAGAUUUUGUUUUGAAUUGGGAUUAUGUAGAACAUAGAAUUCAAAAGCAAUUUUUCUACCAUAAAGUUGGAAAUUUCUUUUGUCCAUUUUCUAAUGGUCCUUAACACACGUUUUGACAUACUUUGUUAGAUUUGUACUUGAAUAUCAUCUGUUCUGGCUGCUUUUCUGUGUCAACUUGACACAAGCUGGAGUUAUCACAGAGAAAGGAGCCUCCCUUGAGGAAAUGCCUCCAUGAGAUCCAACUCUAAGGCAUUUUCUCAAUUAUUGAUCAAGGAGGGAGGUCCCAUUGUGGGUGGUGCUGUCCCUGGGCUGGUUGUCCUAGGUUCUAUAAGAAAGCAAGCUGAGCAAGCCAGGGGAAGUAAGCCAGUAAGUAACAUCCCUCCAUGGCCUCUGCAUCAGCUCCUGCAUCCUGACCUGCUUGAGUUCCAGUCCUGACUUCCUUUGGUGAUGAACAGCAAUGUGGAAGUGUAAGCUGAAUGAACCCUUUCCUCCCCAACUUGCUUCUUAGUUAUGAUGUUUGUGCAGGAAUAGAAACCCUGACUAAGACACCAUCUUUGAGUAUUAAAGUAAAUACUGCUGUAUUUUAUAUAAACCUCUCUUGCUCACCAUGGCGGAGUCCAUAGGAAAUAGUCGCCUUCUUUCUGUAUGUUAGUUCUAGAACCUGACCCUUUCAAUAGUUACUUACACUUAGUCUUUUCUUGAUUGGACAGUUGCUGCUACUCAGACCAAAUUAUAACCUUUGCCUCUCUCUCUCUAUAGAUAUGUAGUUUUCUAUUUUUUUUUACAUAUUCUCUCUUACAAUACAUCUCCACCACAGUUUCCCCUCCCUCCAUUCCUAGCUCCCUCUUUCCCCCCAUCACUUCUCCUCAUUCCAUGAUCCACUCCCCAUCUAUCUCCCAUCAGAAAAUAGCAGGCCUCCAAGAUCAACCAAACACGACAGAACAAAAUACAGUAAGACCAGGCAAAAGCCCCCAUGCCAGAGCUGGACAAGGCAACCCAACAACAUGAGGAGGAAAAAGAGUUCUGAGAGCAGGUGAAAUAGUUGAGACGUACCCAUUCCCACAGUUAGAAGUCCCACCAGACACCAAGCUAACAGUUACAGCUCACAGGCAGCAGACCUGCGCAGACCCCUGCAGGCUCAGAGCUUGCUCUUCAGACCCUGUGCGCCUGUACUGCACCCGCUGGGGUGGUUCAGUGGGCCAUGUUUUCCUGCUGUCCUCUAUUCCCAAUGACUCCUACAAUCUUCCCUCUCCCUCUUCUGUGGGUUCCCUGAGCUCUGAGGCGAGGGACACAAUGGAGGUCUCCAAUCCAGACUCUACAGAAUGCAUGGUGAGGUUCUUUGCGUCUGUUCCUACCUGCUGCCCUAGAGGAGGCCUCUCUGGUGACAACUGGACAAAACACUAACCUGAGAGCAUAGCAGAAUCCCACUGGGAAUCAUUUCUCUUCCCCUCUCCCUUCUCCUCCCUCCCUCGCUUCCUCCCCUAUAUUUGGUAUCCUCAGGCACCCUAGGUAUCUGAGUUAUCCAUUCUCCAAUUCCUAGCCAUCAAAGCAGCACCAGGCAUGGACUUCCUCUCCGGAGUGUGUCUCCAGUUAAAUCAGACAAUGGUUAGCCACCCCCACAGGUUCCUUAUCCCAGCAUAUCUGGCAGGCACCACAAGUUCUGUGUCACCCUUGCCCUAGCACAUCUUGGAGACAGGAGGAAUUGUUCAUCAGAGGUUCUGUGGCUGGAUUGGUGUCCAUGUUGCUCUUUUGGUAGCCUGCAGAUUGCCUUCUGGCACCAGAGAGACUAGAACAAGGGAGAAGGCUCCAUGCAGGCACCAGCUUGAGUUCUCCAUGUUCAGUGAAGCUGUAUGGAUGUUAUCCUUGUUAGUGGGGCCACACUGUCAGUUUGCUGAGAGCAACCACAUCAUUGCAUCAGCCUGGCUUGUUUGGUGAUCUCUACAGGACCAUCCUGGCCAAUAACUCAACCAAAUGCAACCCAUUCCCACCAGUGGAAGCCUUGUCUUGCUGCAUGAGAUGACGAAUUGAGUGCGACUCCACAUUUCCCAUCGCCGGGAGUCCUCACUAGGGCCACCUUCAUAGAUUCUAGGAACUUUCCACAGCACUAGGUUUCCACACCCCCCAAAUGCCCCCCAUUCUAACCAUCUCUCCCCACACUAUUUCAUCCCUCCAACCCCACUUGUUCCCUCCCACUCCCGUCCCAACCCACACAACCCAGCAAAAUCUGUUUCUUACCUCUCCUAGGGAGAUCCGUGCAUAUACCUAGACCUCUCUUCUUUACCUAACCUCUCGGUUACAAUCUACAGAGUGUAGCUGGGUUAUUAUUUUACUAGCAGCUAAUAUCUACUUCUAAGUGAGUACAUACCGUAUUUAUCAUUGUGGAUCUGGGUUACCUCACUCAGGAUGGUUUUUUUUUUUCCUAUUUCCAUCCAUUUGACUGUAAAUUUCUUGAUACCAGUUUUAAACAGCUGAGUAAUAAUCCAUCAUGUAAAUGCAGGCUUUUGUUUAUCCGUUCUUCUGUCGAGGGCAUCUAGGUUGUUUCCGUUUCUGGCUAUUAUAAAGAAAGGCACAAUGGAGAUGGCUGAGCAAGUGUCGUCGUGUGAAAUAGCAUCCUUUGGGUAUAUGUCCAUCUCUUUAACUGUUUCUCAGACGUUUGAGAUUCCGCUAUUGAGAAGUCUCUGUCUAAAUCUGUACCUCUUUUUAAUUGGAUUAUGUGCUUUAUUUUGAUAAUAGUAGUCUUCUUUAUAUAUUUUGGAUAUUAGUCCUUGAUCUGGUAUGGAGCUCGUGAAAAUCCUUCCCAUUCUCUAGACUUUUGUCAGUAUCCUUUGCCUUACAGAAGCUUUUCUGUUUUGUAAUGUCGCAUUUAUUUAUUGUUGAUCUUAGUGCCUGUGCUGUCAGUGUUCUGUUCAGGAAGUUGUCUCCUAUGCCUGUGCAUUUAAGGCUGUUUCCUACUUUCUCACCUAAGGUUCAGUGUGUGUAGUUUUAUGUUGAGAUCUUUGAUCCACUUGGACUUGAAAUUUGUACAGGAUGACAAAUAUGGAUCUGUUUGCUUUGUUCUAUAUACAAACCAGUUUGACCAGCAUAGUUUGAUUAAGAUUCUCUUUUUUUUUUCUAGUGUGUAUUUUGGACUUUGUUUUUAAAAAUUUGGUAUCCAUAGGUAUGUGCAUUUGUAUCUGUCUUUAGUUCAGUUCCAUUAAUCAACCUGCCUCUUUUUGUGCCACACCACUCAGGCCUUACCAUGUAGCUCGCUAGUAACACUUCAGGCCAACAGCAGCUCCUCUGUUGCUCAGAGUCAUUUUAGCUAUGUCAGAUUGUUGCCAUGUGAAGUUGAGACUUGUCCUUUCAAGGUUCGUAAAGAAUUGAGUUGGGUUUUGAUGGGAAUUGCAUUGAAUCUAGAGAUGGCUCUCUGUAAGAGUCAUCUUUACUAUGUUACUUUUACCAGUCCGUGUGUGGGGGUGAUCAUCUGAUAUCUUCUUCAAUUUCUUUCUGGAAAGAUUUGACAUUUCUAAUGUUCAGGUCUUUCGCUUGCUUGAUUAGAGUUACCCCUCCGUAUUUUAUUGGCUUUAACUAUAUUUUACAUUAUUUAAGGCUAUAGCAAAGAUUGCUUUUGAUUUUGCUCUCAGUCCAUUUGGCAUCUGUGUAUAGGAGGGCUACUCUUUCUGUUUGAUUGUUUGUUGUUUUGUUUUUUCUUUGUGGGGGGCAUCAUACAGCUUAAGAGAUUCAGGGGUAAAGGUCCUCUCCAUCUUUGAUCACAUUUGUCUCUGUACCCAGUAGAACUUACUGCACUUAAUAAGGCAUACAGACACUUUAGUUCUGAGUGUAUUAAAAGAAUUAAACACUUUUCUAAAAAUCUUUCAAUGAUAAGUUGGUACCCUUUAGCUAACUAAAGCUAGAGGGUAGGAAAUUGGAAAAGGAAAUUAACUAGUAUUUUGUAACCGUUUUUAAUAAUUUCUUGUUUUCCAAACACUGCUUUUAUAACAGAAGUGUUUUACCUUUGCACAGUAUUAAUUACUUUAUUAUAGGUGGAAGCCUGUGGUAGGUGACUACACAAUGAGAUUGCAAACAACCAAUGGCACUUUUCUGACGUCAGAAGAAUUUGUAAGAGUAAACAUCACCAAAAGUACAUAAAAAUUCAUCAGCAUAAACAUCAAAGUAUGUUGCGGUAAAAAUAAAAAAGUGAUGGAACGGUUCACGUGUCCCUGGAGGUCUCCUGCUAGCUCUGGCCCCAGCGGGCCAUUGGAACUACUGCUAAUUUAACUCAGCAGCUCCAUGCUGCCCUCACCUCCUUUCUGACCCACUGUCCUCCAGUCAUUCCAACAUGGCGCCUUGUCAGGCCACCCCACCCUCACUCACGGCUCUCUUGGCUGGUUUCUACCAGGCAAUUCUAUGAAGGGCUCAGUACAUCCUGCAACCAUACACUCUCUUGAACUCAAUUAAGUUGCCACAGGAAAGAACACACCUCACAAUAUCUUGUGAUCCCAAUAGAUAAGAUGUAAUUUGCCCAUCUAGACAACACAAAGUCCUGUACACACGCAUCCCCUAAGGAUAGUCAUAGCAACCUGUAAUACAUGCAGAGAGGAAUCUGAACAUCUGCCGCCAUGUUCUCUCAGCUCCCUCACCUCCCUCGGGCCUCCUCUGCCUCUCUAAAACUUUUCUCCCGCCCAUCCUUCUUCUUGUCCAAUGACAGGCCUCAUUCUCUCUGAUACCUGCUUUCAUCUGCUUAAUAACAUUAACCUACAAAAGUACAUUAAAAAUACAAUCAAGAAAAAAUAUAAUUGCUAAAGAGUGGUUUAGAGAACUCAAAUGGCAAUUAGCAUUCAUAGCAAGUUUUGAUGACUUUACAAGAUCCCUGUACCAUACUGACUAUACACCCCUGCAGAGUGUACAUUAAAGGCUGCAAUUUCUUAAAGAGUUCUGAUGUCAUUACUAAAUACACACUCUUUUCUGUUACACAAGCUAUGCCACCAGGUGGGAUUACAGCCCUUUGACAUCUAUGGCUUGUACAUGGAAGUCUAAAUUGGGUUUGUUUUUUAAAAAAAGGUCAGGGAUGUUUACCCUAUUGUUUUAGUAUUUGAAUGCCAUAAGACGUAAAGUGCACAAUCAAUUAUCAACCGGAUGAGAAAUCAUUCUAAAAUUGAAACCAUCAAGACAGGGAGAAGGAACAAGACAUUCCAGAACUUUUAAAAGAGGAAGUUAAGAACAAGUACCAAAAACCAGAAGUGGAGGUGGUACCUAAUAGCAUGAAUGAGAUAAUGUUUUUGGCUAUGUAUAAUGAAUAAUACUACCCCAAAUUUCACUAGAUUAUAUGAAUUGAGCUUACUCUAAUACUGAAACCAACCAACCACUUGGGUUUUAGAUUUAACACUGUACUAGACAGACAUUCACAGAAUCACUUAAUGGAAUCACAGCCUUGUCAGGUGGAUAAAAAGGGUGUUUUAGUUUGUAAUUAUUUUACUGAGUAUUUUUGAAUCUAUGUUCACAAGAAAAAGUGGUCUGUAAUUCUCUUUCCUUGUCGAUUCUUUAUAUGGUUUGUGUAUCAAUGUGACUCUGGUCUCAUAAAGUGAGUUUGGCAAUAUUCCUUUUGUUUCUGUUUUGUGGGGCUGUUGAAGAGGAUUAAUAUUAGCUCUUCUUUGAAUCUCUGAUAGAACUCUUAACUAAAACCAUCCGCUCUUGAGCUUUCUUUAGUUGGGAGACUUUCAAUGGUUGCUUCACUGGGGCUUGCAGUUUUAUUUAAGUUGUUUAUUUGAUCUUGAUUUAACAUCAGUAAGUGGUACGUGUGGAGAAAAUUAUGUUUCCUUUACAUUUUUCAAUUAGGUAGCAUACAGGUUUUUAAAGCAUGUCCUUGUGACGUCUCUGGAUGUCCUCGGUGUCUGUUGUUAUGCCCCCCUUUCAUUUCAGGUUUUGUUAAUUUGGAUCUUCUUUCUGUGCCUUUUUGUUAGCUUGUAUAAGCGUUUGUCUGUUUUGUGGAUUCUUCUGAAGAAAGAAGCAGCUUUUUGUUUGUUUUAUUGAUUGCUUUUAUUGUUCUCUUUCUAUUUUAUUGACUUUAGCCCUUGGUUUGAUUAUUUCUUGUGGUUCACCCCUCUUGUGUAUGCUUACUUCUUUUUUAGAGUUGUCAAGUGUGCUGUUUAAUUACUAGUACAAUAUCAUCCUCUUUUUUUUUUUUUUCUUGUAGGCACUUAGUGUUCUGAAAUUUUCUCAUAGCACCGCCUUCAUUGUGUCCCAUACAUUUGAGUAUGCUCGGUAUUCAAUUUCAUUGAAAUUUAGUGUCCACUUUCCACCAUAGCCAGGAUCCACGAGUCCAGGAAUCAAGUGAGGUGGAAAAGGGAAUCGUUCCACUCACUAUCGCUCCUAAUGACCAGCUAGGGAAUUUCUUGAUUCUUGUUCCUGCAGCCCUAAGUUCUGCUGGCCUGGAAGUUUUGGUUCCAGAGGGAGGAGUGCUCCAGCCAGGAGCCACAACUAACAUUCAGUUCAACUGGAAGCUCAGACUUCCCCCAGGUCAUUUUGAGCUUCUAAUGACCUUAAACUAGCAAAGCCACACCUACUCCUACAAGGCCACACCUUCUGGUAGUGCUACUCCCUAGGCUAAGCAUAUUCAAACCAGCAUGUUUAGAAGGUCUUUAAUUCCUUUAUUUCUGUCUUGUCUUAUUUUUCAUUUAGUAGAGACGUGUUCAGUUUCCAUGGCUUUGUGUCGUUCUGUUGUUUCU